UUUUCUGCCUAGGCCUCGAUGUUGAACGCCUCUCCUGCAGACAUGAAAGCUCUCUCCUGGAUGUUUCUUGCUGGUUCUGCAGCAGCCAGCGCCCUCUUCUCUCUGGAUUCCCUCCGGGGCAUUCAGUGUCCAGGGGGAGGAUGUCCCCGGGUUGCCCAGAUGCUGCUAGAGAAACACAGCGUACUCAACACCCUUUUGAACAGAGCCCUUAGUAACAGUUGGCACAAGAGAUCACACUGGUUUAGAUUAAGAUCUCCUGCCCCUUUCCUAGAGGAUUGUCAGCUGUCCUCUGUGCCUAGCAGCCCCCUGUCAUUAAGAGGAGGCUGAAAAAGAAAAAAAGGGGAGGCUGGGCUAUGAUGCUCCUGAGGUAUGGAUCCUGGAUGCUUCUCCAGAGAGAACAGUGAUGUUCAGCUUCAAGACCAAGGCAAAGGCUGCUUCCUUUUGUUUGCUCCCUCACUGUGGCCUGCAGGGACAUGCUCCCCAAACUCUCCUCUCCCAUUCUGAGAAGCAGAAGAAGCUUUUGUUAAACACAGUAGGUAUUAUAGAGCUCCCCUUGGUUUCCAGGAGCUCUGCAAGGACCUAUGUAGCCCUCAUCCUUGCUUGGUUCUGCAGUAGCUUGUUAAAAUGCUUUGGGAAGUCAGAAAGUUAGCUGGUGUUUUUUUCUGAACCUUGGUGGGAUACUUUUUAUGACUCAGUUCCAGACCUCCAGACCUAAUGAACUCCACAUUACUCCCAAACUUGGACUUCCAUCUUAGGCCAAAGCUUAUGAAGCCCCAUGUUAGAGUACCUUUGAGAACCAGGGGCAGCUGGUACAGUUACAACCAGUAAACUUAGUUACUG
rnacentral:lncRNA from 1 species